rnacentral:rRNA from 1 species
GCGCUUCUUGGAUAGGCCAGGAAGCAUGCCUCUNUGAGUAUCGUUUUCACCCCAGCUCGACUGCUUAUUUGUAAUAAAAUAAGUUCUGUCGGAGAAUGAGUUUGUCUUGUCUGAAAAGAUAAGUCACUUUAAAUGCUGUGAGUUUGAUUGCCUACUUCAGUAGGAUUAGUGUAUGAACUAAUCGCUGUCGUAAUGUGGAUAAAUUUUAUUUACAUUAUUAUGCAGUUUGAUUGGAUGUAUACUGGUAAUAAUCAUUUAUGACUCAGUGGAAAUUAAUCUAAUACUUUAACGGUAUUAAUACCUUUUGAAUUAGAUCUCAAAUGAAGCAAGACUACCCGCUGAACUUAAGCAUAUUAUUAAGCGGAGGAAAAGAAACUAACAAGGAUGCCCUCAGUAACGGCGAGUGAAGCGGGCAAAGCUCAACCUGAAAAUCGGAUAUCCAAGCGGGUGUUCGAAUUGUGGGCUAGAGACGCAUGAUCAGUGUGUGACCUAGGUAUAAAUCUUUUGAAACAAGGUAUCAUAGAGGGUGAGAAUCCCGUCUUUGACCUAGAGUUUCGCCACGUACGAUCUGUGUUCAUAGAGUCGAGUUGUUGGGAUUGCAGC